UUCUCCUACCACCCCUCUAUUGUGCUUCCAACAAUCAGACCCCAAAACAAACCCCACGCCGCUCACGAGAAUAGGGAAGCGUAUAACUGUCUGGGAAGGCGUUUGCUGGAAAAGGGGAGAGCCUUCCCUGCCUGUGGAAAAAGCGAUUGGCGGGAUAUGUGUGUGUGUGUAAAACCUAAGGUUUUCGGUUUUAGCUGUUGUUUUGUUUUUAUUUUCCGCUCCGGGUUGCAAGUUAAAGCAGCUCUCUCCCCGCAGCGUGGAUGGUGAAAGUCUAUAAGGUGGCACCAAACAUCUCAGUAGCGUGGAUGGUGUAAUUGUCAUGCUGUUAAGCAUUUCCUUCUUGACGUGCACCUCUUUCAGCCGCUAAUCUCCGAACGGGAUGUCAAAGCAGAUUCUGACAUCUUUACAGAGCCUGUCCUGCAGGAUUUUCUGUUACCGCCGACAGUAUCCUCAUGUACGAUGCCCUCCGUGGGCCAGCGACUGAACAAAGUAAAAAUCAAUAAAAUAAGCGCAAACUAGUCUUCUUUGCACAGAAAGGUUGAAACGUGUGUAAGGGGGGCUGCUAGAAAAGAUGAAAAUCCGCGUUUUGCAGCUCCAAAUCUCGGCAACAGAACACGAUCAUUACGCGCGAGAGAAAGGGGUAAAAUCCUGCUCGUAUCGUGAUUAUUGUUAUGACAGGGAGCAAUAACUGCUUUGUAAUAAAAAUAGUGUUUGUUAUGAAGAAACUGACUGAGCAGCCAUCCAGAUAAGCAUUCCCUGCGUCUACCAAGCCUGCCUUCGUGAUGUUUUGUGCUCUGCUAAGCCCCCUGUCCUUUUCAAUCGUUAUUGUCUUUUUUUUUCUUGUAAUUAUGCACAUUUUUUCCCACUUACCCUAGUUUCAACACUAACGCUCCGAAAUUGCACAGAGAAAUAAAAGAAAGGCUAUUUUUUUUCCCCCUGUA